rnacentral:rRNA from 1 species
GCCCUUAGAGUUUGAUCCUGGCUCAGGACGAACGCUGGCGGCGUGCUUAACACAUGCAAGUCGAACGAUGAAGCCCUUCGGGGUGGAUUAGUGGCGAACGGGUGAGUAACACGUGGGCAAUCUGCCCUUCACUCUGGGACAAGCCCUGGAAACGGGGUCUAAUACCGGAUAACACUCUGUUCCGCAUGGAACGGGGUUGAAAGCUCCGGCGGUGAAGGAUGAGCCCGCGGCCUAUCAGCUUGUUGGUGGGGUAAUGGCCUACCAAGGCGACGACGGGUAGCCGGCCUGAGAGGGCGACCGGCCACACUGGGACUGAGACACGGCCCAGACUCCUACGGGAGGCAGCAGUGGGGAAUAUUGCACAAUGGGCGAAAGCCUGAUGCAGCGACGCCGCGUGAGGGAUGACGGCCUUCGGGUUGUAAACCUCUUUCAGCAGGGAAGAAGCGCAAGUGACGGUACCUGCAGAAGAAGCGCCGGCUAACUACGUGCCAGCAGCCGCGGUAAUACGUAGGGCGCAAGCGUUGUCCGGAAUUAUUGGGCGUAAAGAGCUCGUAGGCGGCUUGUCACGUCGGAUGUGAAAGCCCGGGGCUUAACCCCCGGGUCUGCAUUCGAUACGGGCUAGCUAGAGUGUGGUAGGGGAGAUCGGAAUUUCCUGGUGUAGCGGUGAAAUGCC